CCAAGUUUAAAAAAUUAUAGCAUAUUCAAAAUAGAAGUAUUCAUAUCUGGUGUUGUUGUAAAACUGGUAAUGUAUAAUGACGGCUCCUUUUUCAAAACGAAUUGAAUGAUAAUCAACAUUCAUUAAAGAAAAAGACCUUUUCAUUUUUUGAGUCUGGAAAUUUGGUUAAAAAAUAAAAUUUCCAGUUGUAAAUUUUUUCAUACUAGAAGAUAUCCCUUUGGCUUGAUAUCAUGUACUGCAUUAUUUACUUUAGCAGACAUGUAAAAAGAAGUUCUAUAGCAGGAUUUUAUGCAAAGAGUAAUCAGAAGGAAAAAACAAUUAUGACAAAGGAGAAUAUGAUCAAUUAGAAAGUAAUUAGGAAGAUCAAAUAUGUCAAUAAUUAAUUGUGAAAGCAUAUACCCACACACUUUUCUCUUAGUUCUAAAUCUCAUGGUAUAUUUUUAAAAAUGUUAAACUAGGUCUGUUCCUACAUCUGCUUUCUGGUCCUAUGUCUUCUUUUUAACAAGAGAUGAUAAACAAGCCAUACACAUUCUUUA
rnacentral:lncRNA from 1 species